AAAUUGAAGAGUUUGAUCAUGGCUCAGAUUGAACGCUGGCGGCAGGCCUAACACAUGCAAGUCGAACGGUAACAGGAAACAGCUUGCUGUUUCGCUGACGAGUGGCGGACGGGUGAGUAAUGUCUGGGAAACUGC
rnacentral:rRNA from 1 species